CACGCCCACAUUCCCAUGUGCAUGUAGAGCAGAUUCGCGGAAGAUAGCCGAGAGCCACGUCGGCGGGGCUUCUGGAGGCACGGGGUCUGGGGGAAAGGGAGUCUCGUUCUCCCUGAGCGGCGCAGUGAGCGGACUCGCAGUGUGUCUCCGCUUAAUAGACCCCCGCCAGAGGAAAGCCCGCGCCCGGCCGCGGCCAAGCCCCGCUGGCCUUUUUUUGCGAAUCACUCGACGCCCCCUUGGGCCGAGGUCGCGAGGACAGGAUCGCUGAAGGCCCUCCCACCCGCUGCCCCGCCCCUGGUGAGGGCGGGACGACGAGACCCCACUUUUCCACGGGAGAAAAACCGAGGUGUGGUCCUUUGAGGAGACCUCACGGUUUGUGAGAGUUCGCGCCCCAGGGCCCUCGCUAGCGUCGCCCCGCUAAGCGGGAGGCUGCGGCCCCUCACUGCCCCCAUCCCACGCCAGGGCCUGAACGGCACGAUGCCCCGCCCCUCCCGGGACGGCUCUGUGAGGGCGGGCCGCCCGCCUUCCCGCCUCCAGGCCGCGCCCGCUCCCCAAUGAGGGCUGGGCACGCCCCUGAUGCGAGGCGUCGCGCCCCCGCCCCCGCAGGCGCCGUGCUUGCGGAGCCACCCCUCCCAGAGGCGCGGUGCUUCACCUCGCCUUCUGUCACUGGCGUUCCCUUAAACUGACGGCGUGGCUCGAGGGGCUGCUUAAUCCCCCCAAUUCUAUGUUAGAUGCUCUCCCCCCCCCCCCAUCCGAAGUAAACAACCGAAGCUAGGGGAAAACGGGAGGCUUGCUACGCUAACGCAGCCUCAAAACGGCUCCCGGUCCCCUUCCAACCAAAGGCACCCGCCUCCCCAAUACAGAAAUUCAGGAGGUGCUUCGACUGUGCUGUGGGUCACCGAGAGCCCUGCUGUCCCCGAUCCCUUAGAAUCCUGCCUCAGGGCUGGAGGCAAUGAGUUGCCAUUCUUGCCCGGCCCCCGUGCUUGGCCACAGGCCGCAGCCACACCAGCCUGGUUUCGUCUGGGGUUUCAUCCACUCACACGAGGUGAAUGGACUCUGUGUCUCCUCCCCGCACCGCGUCGCGUUGCCCGCGGUUUCCAAGGCUUCUGGAAGCCAGGACCGCGUGGGCAGCUGAGGGUGGAGGAGCUGAGAGGGGAACUCCCGUCUCCAGCCCUGCCCUGGGAGCCAGGUUCUUAAGGGUUAAGCCGGCCCAUCUUCCCACCAUCCCUUUCCAUAUUAGGAACCCAGGAGCCCUGCCUCCCAGUAAGGAAGCCAAUCUCAUUUUCUGAAAUGGAACAGGAGCCAUCUCCCAGCCCCUUCUCCAAAAUCUGCAGUUCAGUAGCUGUCCGUGCCUCAGAUUCUACCAUCAGAGCUUCAUUGUUUUCAUUAGAGCUUGUCUUUUUGUUCCAGAAAGAAAUCACACCUAGAAGAAAAAGAGGCAGAGUAUCAGGCACUUGGAAAAAGAUCUGACCUGAGGUGAAGUAAAGGACCCACACUGAGGCAGAGCCCCGUGGACCUGAUGCCUGGCCCCUUCUGCUCUCCCUGGCACUCCCGUAACUUCUGGCCACUGGACUAUGCCUGCUCACCAAGCCCCACUGAAGGGUGCAAAGCAGCAGCUGGCAGAGGAGGGCAGUGUGAAGAUUUCUGUUCAGUUCCCUCCCCCUCAACAUUUGGGAAAGACGCUGCCAUCACCCGGCCUACUCCCCUCUGGGUCCAGAUGGGAAAACAAAGCCUAGAAGGUCCAGGAGGUGCCAGUGCCCCUAAGGAAAGAGCUAGAAAAGGAAGAAUCACAUCCCAGGCUUCAAGAGAAGGUGGCUGAGUGCUGGAAGGCACGCUGGCACCAGGUGGUAGUUGCUCUGAAAUUGAAAGAACUGCAGAGACCCCAGACAGAGACUGAGGCCUGGUCUCCCCAGCUGGGUGCUCUCUGCCCACCUUCCUCUCCCUCCCCACGUGCCCCCUCUCCUCCUUCUCUUCCCCACUGUCCAGUCUUUCCUACUGCGAGCCAUUUAGGGUCUUUCUGCUCUUAGGCUGCCCACUAGCUUUAUCCUACACUUCCUUCCUUUCUCCUGCUUCUUCCUCAUUACGCUCCAUCCACCCACCCACCCAUCCUUCUUUCCAUCCCCCCCGUUCACCCAGCAUACCUUCCCUGAACAUCUACUGCAUGUCUGGCCCUCUUCUGUGUGCAGGAGAACCAAAGUCAGAUCAGACCACUCCUCGUCCCCAAAAGUUUAUGGUUUGGGGCCACAUAGUCAUCAAGUGGGCCAUUACAAUUUAAUACGUCUGAUGAGGAGAGGGGCACCUCGGUGGCUCAGUCAGUUGAGCAUCUGAUUCUUGGUUUCAGCUCAGGUCAUGAUAAUGGUUUGUGGGUUCAAGCCCCACGUCAGGCUCUAUGCUGACAGCACGGAGCCUGCUUGGGAUUCUCUCUCUCUCUCUGCCCCUCCCCUGCUUGCUCUCUCUCUUCCUCUCUCAAAAAUAAAUACAUCAACAUUUAAAAAUAUAUGUCUGGGGCGCCUGGGUGGCUCAAUUGGUUAAGCGUCCAACUUUGGCUCAGGUCAUGAUCUCGCAGUCUGUGAGCUUGAGCCCUGUGUCGGGCUCUGUGUUGACAGCUCAGAGCCUGGAGGCUGCUUAAGAUUCUGUGUCUCCCUCUCUCUUUGACCCUCCCCCACUCACGCUCUGUCUCUCUGUCUCUCUGUCUC